UGCACUCCUACGGGAGGCAGCAGUGGGGAAUUUUGGACAAUGGGCGAAAGCCUGAUCCAGCCAUGCCGCGUGCAGGAUGAAGGCCUUCGGGUUGUAAACUGCUUUUGUACGGAACGAAACGGCCUUUUCUAAUAAAGAGGGCUAAUGACGGUACCGUAAGAAUAAGCACCGGCUAACUACGUGCCAGCAGCCGCGGUAAUACGUAGGGUGCAAGCGUUAAUCGGAAUUACUGGGCGUAAAGCGUGCGCAGGCGGUUAUGUAAGACAGUUGUGAAAUCCCCGGGCUCAACCUGGGAACUGCAUCUGUGACUGCAUAGCUAGAGUACGGUAGAGGGGGAUGGAAUUCCGCGUGUAGCAGUGAAAUGCGUAGAUAUGCGGAGGAACACCGAUGGCGAAGGCAAUCCCCUGGACCUGUACUGACGCUCAUGCACGAAAGCGUGGGGAGCAAACAGGAUUAGAAACCCGAGUAGUCCCA
rnacentral:rRNA from 1 species